rnacentral:rRNA from 6 species
AGUGGAGCCUGCGGCUUAAUUUGACUCAACACGGGAAACCUCACCAGGCCCGGACACCGGAAGGAUUGACAGAUUGAGAGCUCUUUCUUGAUUCGGUGGGUGGUGGUGCAUGGCCGUUCUUAGUUGGUGGAGCGAUUUGUCUGGUUAAUUCCGAUAACGAACGAGACUCUAGCCUGCUAACUAGGCGUAUUUCGACAUCCCAAAGGCCCGCCGGUUUGGGGUUUCGGCUCCUUUCCGCGCGCGGUUUUUACUGUCGGCGUACAAACAAUUCUUCUUAGAGGGACAGGCGGCAUCUAGCCGCACGAGAUUGAGCAAUAACAGGUCUGUGAUGCCCUUAGAUGUUCUGGGCCG